rnacentral:lncRNA from 1 species
UGAGUUGCAAUAAGGGCUCUACAUAGAUAUUUAUUCGAUCCGCACUUUUCACAUGUCUGAAAGAUGAAGGUCUAGAGAAUGAAGUCCGUGCAACUAUUGAAAAUGAAGCAUAUCAAAUACAAGCACCAGAUAAUAUAUUAGUGCCAGAUGACACGGUCGACAUAGGACAAUUACAACAAGACAACUAUGAACUUGAGGAUAUUUCUAUUGUUGGAAAGUCGGUAU